GACGAACGCUGGCGGCGUGCCUAACACAUGCAAGUCGAGCGGGAACCUCAGGAGGGGUAACCCUUCCGAGGGGAGAGCGGCGAACGGGUGAGUAACACGUGGGCAACCUGCCCCGGACACCGGGAUAACCCAGGGAAACCUGAGCUAAUACCGGAUACUCCGGCGCGAUCGCAUGGUCGCGCCGGGAGAGCUCCGACGGUCCGGGAUGGGCCCGCGGCCUAUCAGCUUGUUGGUGGGGUAACGGCCCACCAAGGCGACGACGGGUAGCUGGUCUGAGAGGACGGCCAGCCACACUGGGACUGAGACACGGCCCAGACUCCUACGGGAGGCAGCAGUGGGGGAUCUUGCGCUAAUGCGCGAAAGCGUGACGCAGCGACGCCGCGUGGGGGAUGAAGGCCUUCGGGUUGUAAACCCCUUUCGGCAGGGACGAAGGGAAACUGACGGUACCUGCAGAAGAAGUCCCGGCUAACUACGUGC
rnacentral:rRNA from 1 species